rnacentral:tRNA from 1 species
CCGGAAUAGCUCAGUCGGUAGAGCAGAGGACUGAAAAUCCUCGUGUCCCA